rnacentral:rRNA from 1 species
UAGUCCACGCCGUAAACGAUGAGUGCUAAGUGUUGGAGGGUUUCCGCCCUUCAGUGCUGCAGCUAACGCAUUAAGCACUCCGCCUGGGGAGUACGACCGCAAGGUUGAAACUCAAAGGAAUUGACGGGGGCCCGCACAAGCGGUGGAGCAUGUGGUUUAAUUCGAAGCAACGCGAAGAACCUUACCAGGUCUUGACAUCCUCUGACAACCCUAGAGAUAGGGCUUUCCCUUCGGGGACAGAGUGACAGGUGGUGCAUGGUUGUCGUCAGCUCGUGUCGUGAGAUGUUGGGUUAAGUCCCGCAACGAGCGCAACCCUUAUUUCUAGUUGCCAUUUGGAACUCUAGAAAGACUGUCGGUUAUAAACCGGNGGAAGGCGGGGAUGACGUCAAGUCAGCAUGCCCCUUAUGCCCUGGGCUACGACACGUGCUACAAUGGACGAGACAAUGAGUUACAAAUCUGCGAAGAUAAGUUAAUCUAUAAACACGGCCUCAGUUCGGACUUGCAGGCUGAACUCGCC